UCAUGAACGCUGCCCACGCAUGAUGUUUCAGCAUUUGACCGAGUCCGGGGAAUGCAUUCACAGGUAUGACUCACUUUCAGUACCACAAAGUCUGAGGAAAAGUAACAGGAGAAUCAAUGUGUCAUCCGUUAUGGUGAAGCAUUGCUACUGUUUUCAGCUGUGUGACACCUCCUGCAUGGAAGCAGCGAGAAGGAAAUGGAUCUCCCUCGCCUGAUCAUUCAAGCUUGAUGUGCACACAUGCAUGUAUGAGUCUGAAACCUAGAAGGUGGUUAGUCACCUUGCCUUCUCCCUCACCAUCUUUGUCUUCAUCUAUGUGGCUGAUUUUUAAGUCCUGUUGAGAAAUGCUUUCUGCAGUGUUUAACAGCAGAGGAAAUGGAGACAAUGCAGCUCACCUGUGCCUCCCAAAAUGAAGAUGGAAGGAGAGAGCUCUGCAGCUGACACCACUUAAUGCAGCCUUUGAGCUUCUCGAUUGCUCUGCGCUGUCAGUAAGAUGGGACCUGAGGACUGAGAAAAGAAUAAUAGUCUUCUGGCCCUGCCCCUUGCUCCACCUCUCCGUUCAGGGGAAGGAAAAGGACUGUAUGCCAUGGGAUGUGUUUGGAGGAGGAGCAAGAAGAUCAAUUGUAUGCAAAGAGACUGGUGAUGGGAACACUGUCAGAUAUAAUGGCUAAAGGACAGACGAAAGAGUUUGUGAAUGCACUGUAAAUGAAAUGAUCCAAAUGUGAGUUCCCAAGAAUGAAUUUCAAAAUGUGACUACAUUUUGGCAAGGACAGAGAGGUAGAAUCCACAUAAGAGAAAAAUAUAUUUGGGUCAUUGCCUGCUCUUGAGUAAGACACUUCACCGUCUACUACAUCAGCAUUGACUUGGAGAUCUUUACAUCAUGGUGUGCAAGGAAAAGUAGCUACUGUUGUCUCCCUUGAUCUUGCCUACUGUGCCUGAGGUGAGCUGGAAAAUCGGUGAAGAUGUCUUCAGCUUCUAUAGGGGUUUCUACUAUUUUUGUGGAAUGGAGGAAAGCUGAGGAGGAGACUGACUGAGUGGCUUUACAUCAAGAAAAAGUCUGCAGAUGUUGUAACUUUUCAGCUUGCCAGAGGAUGAACCAAAUCUGGCAGUCGAGGCAAUGCAAUGACCGUGUCUCUACAAAUUCCUUCUAUCAACAGCAUCUUGUGGGUUACCAUCCUUACUCCCUGUCUUUCCAAUCUUACUGCUUCACAGUUCGAGCAGCAGUGGCUGUUAACAGCUUGACCCGUCUGAAGUAAACUAUGAAGGAAGCCUGCAAGUCGUUAGUAUAAGAGAGACUGCUAGCUGUUCCUCCAGGAAAGAAAGAUCUUGUACCUUGAAUGAAAG